AAAGAGAAACCAACCAGGGGAUUGCUAGUAACGGCGAGUGAAGCGGCAACAGCUCAAAUUUGAAAUCUGGCUUCGGCCCGAGUUGUAAUUUGUAGAGGAUGCUUUUGGUGAGGUGCCUUCUGAGUUCCCUGGAACGGGACGCCAGAGAGGGUGAGAGCCCCGUAUAGUCGGCCACCGAUCCUCUGUAAAGCUCCUUCGACGAGUCGAGUAGUUUGGGAAUGCUGCUCAAAAUGGGAGGUAUAUCUCUUCUAAAGCUAAAUAUAGGCCAGAGACCGAUAGCGCACAAGUAGAGUGAUCGAAAGAUGAAAAGCACUUUGAAAAGAGGGUUAAAUAGCACGUGAAAUUGUUGAAAGGGAAGCGCUUGUGACCAGACUUGUGCCGGGCUGAUCAUCCAGUGUUCUCACUGGUGCACUCGACCCGGCUCAGGCCAGCGUCGGUUUUCGCGGGGGGAUAAAAGCUUCGGGAACGUGGCACCUCCGGGUGUGUUAUAGCCCGUUGCUUAAUACCCCCGUGGAGACCGAGGUUCGCGCUCUGCAAGGACGCUGGCAUAAUGGUCAUCAGCGACCCGUCUUGAAACACGGACCAAGGAGUCGAGGUUUUGCGCGAGUGUUUGGGUGUAAAACCCGCACGCGUAAUGAAAGUGAACGUAGGUGAGAGCUUCGGCGCAUCAUCGACCGAUCCUGAUGUAUUCGGAUGGAUUUGAGUAAGAGCGUAAAGCCUCGGACCCGAAAGAUGGUGAACUAUGCCUGAAUAGGGUGAAGCCAGAGGAAACUCUGGUGGAGGCUCGCAGCGGUUCUGACGUGCAAAUCGAUCGUCAAAUUUGGGCAUGGGGGGCGAAAGACUAAUCGAACCAUCUAGUAGCUGGAUUACCGCCCGAAGU
rnacentral:rRNA from 1 species